rnacentral:rRNA from 1 species
GCAUAUCAAUAAGCGGAGGAAAAGAAACUAACAAGGAUUCCCCUAGUAACUGCGAGUGAAGCGGGAAAAGCUCAAAUUUAAAAUCUGGUAGUCUUUGGCUGCCCGAGUUGUAAUCUAGAGAAGCGUUAUCCGCGCUGGACCGUGUGUAAGUCUCCUGGAAUGGAGCGUCAUAGAGGGUGAGAAUCCCGUCUUUAACACGGACUACCAGGGCUUUGUGAUGCGCUCUCAAAGAGUCGAGUUGUUUGGGAAUGCAGCUCUAAAUGGGUGGUAAAUUCCAUCUAAAGCUAAAUAUUGGCGAGAGACCGAUAGCGAACAAGUACCGUGAGGGAAAGAUGAAAAGAACUUUGGAAAGAGAGUUAAACAGUACGUGAAAUUGUUGAAAGGGAAACGCUUGAAGUCAGUCGCGUUGGUCAGGGAUCAACCUUGCUUUUGCUUGGUGUACUUCCUGGUUAACGGGUCAGCAUCAAUUUUGACCAGUGGAAAAAGGUCAGGGGAAUGUGGCAUCUUCGGAUGUGUUAUAGCCUCUGGUCAUAUACAUUGGUUGGGAUUGAGGAACUCAGCACGCCGCAAGGCCGGGUUUUAACCACGUUCGUGCUUAGGAUGCUGGCAUAAUGGCUUUAAUCGACCCGUCUUGAAACACGGACCAAGGAGUCUAACAUGCCUGCGAGUGUUUGGGUGGAAAACCCAAGCGCGUAAUGAAAGUGAAAGUUGGGAUCUCUGUCGUGGAGAGCACCGACGCCCGGACCAGACCUUUUGUGACGGAUCCGCGGUAGAGCAUGUAUGUUGGGACCCGAAAGAUGGUGAACUAUGCCUGAAUAGGGUGAAGCCAGAGGAAACUCUGGUGGAGGCUCGUAGCGAUUCUGACGUGCAAAUCGAUCGUCGAAUUUGGGUAUAGGGGGCGAAAGACUAAUCGAACUCAUCUAGGUAGCUGGUUCCUGCCCGAAGU